GCACUUACCUGUAAGGGGGCAUCCUGUGACCAUGAAGGCAGUUUUCCCAGUAAGAGGUUUAUCCGUUGCACUUUGGAUGCUCUGACCCCUCCAAUUCACCCCCAAAUGUGGGAAACAACUACAUAACUUGUUGUAGUGGGGGACUUCGUUCAUACUUUCCCCCA